rnacentral:tRNA from 1 species
GGCGGUGUAGCUCAGUUGGUUAGAGCAUACGGCUCAUACCCGUAGUGUCCAGGGUUCGAAUCCCUGCGCCGCCACCA